UACGGAGGGUGCGAGCGUUGUUCGGAAUUACUGGGCGUAAAGGGCUCGUAGGCGGCCAACUAAGUCAGACGUGAAAUCCCUCGGCUUAACCGGGGAACUGCAUCUGAUACUGGAUGGCUUGAGUUCGGGAGAGGGAUGCGGAAUUCCAGGUGUAGCGGUGAAAUGCGUAGAUAUCUGGAGGAACACCGGUGGCGAAGGCGGCAUCCUGGACCGACACUGACGCUGAGGAGCGAAAGCCAGGGGAGCAAACGGG
rnacentral:rRNA from 1 species